rnacentral:rRNA from 1 species
GGAUUUUUUACAGAAUUUAAAAUUUUAAAUUUCUAGAAAUAAGUUGAGCUAAAAAUUAUAUUAAUUUUAUAUUUCAUUAUAAAAUGAAAAUAAUUUUUAGAGGUGAAAUGCUUGUCAAAAUUUAAGAUAUCUAGUUUUAUUAAAAAAAAUUUAAUAUUGUUCUAUAAUAAAAUUUUUUAUGUGUGAAAUUAUAGAAAAUACAUCUUGGGAUAAGCUAAGAUUUUUUUUUUUAAAGAUUUUUGGGGUUUUAAAAUAUAGGAAUGAAAUUGUCCUGUAUAUUGUUAUAAGUAAUUUUUCUUAAAAGGUUAAAAAAAUUAAUUUUUUCUUUAAUUAAAAUUAAUAUUUAUUUUAAAAUAAAAUGAAAGUAUUAGUAUAAGAAUACACAAUUUAAUUUAAAAGAAAAAAUUAAAAUGUAAGAUUUAAUAUAUAGGAAAAUAAAUUUAAGGAAUUCAACAAAUAUUUUUUCUGACUGUUUAAUAAAAACAACUUAUUUAGUUUUUAUUAUUAAAUAUAAAUCCUGCUCAAUGAAAAUUUUUAAAUUGCUGUAGUAUUUUGACUAUACAAAGGUAUUGUAAUAAGAUUUUAAUUGAAUGCUAAAAGAAUGGAAUUACAGGGAAAAGUUUUUUUAAAUUUAAUAAUAAAAGUUAUUUUAAUUUGUGAAGAAACAAUUAUGAAAAUUAAAGACAAGAAGACCCUAAGAAUUUAUGAAUUUUUAAUUAUGUAUAUGUAAAUUAUUUAUACAAAUAAAAUUCUUAGUUGGGGCAACUAAAAAAUAUAUAAAACUUUUUUUAUUUAAAAUGAUCCAUUAUUAAUGAUUAUAUGGAAAAAAUACUCUAGGGAUAACAGCGUAAUAAUUUUUGAUAGAUCUUAUAGACAAAAUAGUUUGCGACCUCGAUGUUGGAUUAGGAUACUUCUUUAAUGAAGAUGUUAAAGAAAGAAGUUUGUUCAACUUUUAAAUUCCUACAUGAUCUGAGUUUAGACCGAUGAGAAUCAGGUUGGUUUCUAUCUUAAUUCUAAUUCAAUUUUAGUUAGUACGAAAGGAAUUCUAAAAAUUAAAUUUUAAUUUAAUCUAAUUUUAUUUGCAUCAUUUUUUGGAAUUAUUAAAGUGGCAGAAAAGUGCCAGGAAUUUAAGCUUCCUUAAUGAAAAAUUUCCUUUAAUAAUGUUAAAUUUUAUUCAAUUUACAAUUCUUAUUUUGAUAGUUUUAUUAAGAGUAGCAUUUUUUACAUUAAUAGAGCGAAAAAUUUUAGGUUAUUGCCA